UAGGUCUUGUGAAAGGUCCAUAUAGCUCAUAGUACCCUUGUCGGCCUUGAUCCAUUUCACCUGAUGGGUACUUGAAAACGUCCAAUCUGGCGACCUGCUGCCGAUCUCAACUUGGAUUUCUGACUGUAUUACCCUCCCAAGAAUGCAGUAGAGAUCCUCGAGGAUAUCUGCAACAGGAUGUGUUCUGGAAAUGCUCUUCUCCAAGGUGGUGAGCUGCGCUUUGGCUGAUCUCCUCGGUCAUCUUGAUCAGUGCCUUGAAAUGUUGAAUUAUAAGUGGUAGGCAAAUGUGGAUCUCAAAGUGUGUGGUAUAGUCGGCAAAUUUUUGCUCACUUUUCUUUUUAAAAUUGCACCAGAAUGGAUUUGUGAAUUGUGAUUAGAGGUGGUGAGGCAUAGUUAGCAGCAUUUUGUUCUGACUAAAUUAUUCUUUUGGUGAGAGGGUGCAGUGGUCAGGUGCACCUAAGUUCUUGUAAAUGCUGGUCAUGGUUCAGCUGUUCAAAUUCCUGUCCUGCAAUUGCUGGGUGUUGAUUUGUGCGUUAACUCUGACUUGGCCCGUGCGUGGAGAAAUAUUCUUGUGAUGUUUUGGUUUGAAUUGUCUCUUUGCACUAUGAUGAUGUUUCUGUUUUUGCUACUACGUUUUGGUGUUUCUUUUCUUUUACUUCUGUUGCUAUAAAAGCCUCUCUUUCACCGUAGGAUGAGGCGUGAAUGCCGUAUUUUCUCAAUGGAGGAACAUGAAUGUUGUUGUGCUAUAAUCUUGAUGAAAAUAAGGCUGUUCGUGGUUUCAUCAUUACAAAAAAUGUUUGUAAAUUUAAGCGCUAAUGAUAUCUGAAACGUUUGCCUGGUUGUAACGCUGACUGGAUCAUGUUCUCCAGUCCAAGUUUGUACUAGCUGUACAUCAAUGUACAGUAGUUUGUUCUUCCCCGAAACACGUGUUAAACUGGUGCCAAGGGAACUUGUUAUCCAUGUUUGCUAAAACUUUUUUUUCUUUCCCUUUUGGGAAUUUGUUAAAGCUUGUUCUUGGUCUAACGUUUGUGCUGAGCUUCAGAAGUCUUAGAGCAACUCCAACGAGCAGACCCAAACGGACGGUGCAUCUGUCCGUUUUUUGUUCGUUUGGGUCGGCCGCCCGUCCGGCAUCCGCCCAGAUUUGCAUUUGGGUCGGCAUUGUGCCCAACGCGUCGACCCAUUUCAUGUCCGAAUCCAACUUUUAAAUAAAAAAGGCCCGCGGCCGAUCAUGUCAGCGGCCAUGUCUCAUGCCGACACCAUGCAGCGUCGGCAUACAAUGCCGACUUCAGAAAAUAUCAUCACAGUUCAUGCUGGCGCACUCGUCAACCGGCCGGCACACAUGCCAGCACACAAAAAAAA
rnacentral:lncRNA from 1 species